CGUACGCUAAUUGACACGCGGUUCUGCUGACGAUGCUAAACAUAUUUCCGAGAUGUUUUCAAACAUGAAAGCGAUUUUGUAGAUUUCAGCGGGACUAUUCAUUAUAAACAAAUUUCGUGCGCAGUUACAUGUAUGAAAGGUUGAGAGAAAAGAUGACGGGAGGGAAACUUGUCACUAACACAACAAAAGAGUUGAAACAUUUCCUGCUAGAUUGCUUACAUCAUAGUGGUUUCAGAGUAACUGGUAACUGAUGAAAAAAUGUUUACAUCACUCAUGCAGCACGAUAUCUCAUGGCUUCACGAGAUCUUGAAGGAUGCGAUGAAGCAGCGGGAGCAAUCAAUGCAGGAAAGCAGGCUCUCCUAGUCAGAACAGGCAAGUACUGCCUAGGUGAUGAAAACCAGUUACCCUCACGUACAUGGACAGUGGACAGCUUUCCCCAUGCUGUAAUCCUUUUGUUGGACUCCUGACGCUUAUGACAUCAUCACUGAUUGGAGGUCAAAGAUCAUGGAUGUUUAUAGUGCCAAGUGUAGCAGUGGUGUGUGUCUUUGGUGACCAGUAAGAUGUUGUUAGUUAAGAAAUUGCACAGUUCCUGUGUUAGUAAAGUUAAAAUGUAUAAAAGCUGAUAUACAUUAUUGUAAAGACACCUAUAUUUACCAGUAAUUAACAAAAGGGCCAAUAAGCAUUCUGAUUUAUGGGACCACAAAAAUUACCUGAGAACUAUGUCUUUGAAGAUUCCCCCCCCCCCCAUUCUUAAAUCAUGCAAAAUGAUGUAUUAUCGGCAACUUAUAGCUCAUAUUGACAAUUCUAGGCUUGUUUUGAAGAAGUACUUUUUUUGCUCAUUUGGGGACCAUCUGUUGUCUAGUCCCUUUAACACCGGCUUUCAUUGUUUCUGUUGCUAUUUGUGAGCAGUUGACCUGCACAUAUGAAGGAUAACUAUUGACUUUUAACCUGUUACCUAUGCUUAAAAUUUAGUCAAAGGAUGGAACUGUCCAUUUACCAGUCAUAAGUUGUAGUCCCUAAUUAAGUUAACUAUUAAUGGAUUAAGUUUUUUAAGUUAUAAAUUAGCUUAUACUUGGGAAUCAAAGUCUUUUCACUUAAAGUGUUUCAGCCAAUUACCUGGCUAACAGAUCUACACCUUGGCGACUGAUAGAUACAAGUUGAAUAUUUUUGGUUGUUUUAUUUUAAUUAUUAAUAUUCAUUUUUGAGUUGUUUUUGAAACAGUGAAGUAUUUCACAACUGAUUAUCUGUGUAAGAAUUUAUGUAUGAAAUGUUAAAAGUUGUAUGUUAAAGGAGAUUGCUUCAACUUUGUGAGUUUUUUGUUUGUUUUGAAUAUUUAGGAUUCAAUUAAGUUGUACGCUCAAAACUUUGGUUUAUACUAUAAAAUGGUUGAAUCACAAGAACAAUGAGAGAAGAAUCUCACAAGAUAAGAGCAGUCUCCAUUACAUGAUAUGUAACUACCUUGGAUAAAUGUUUCUAAUCGGUCUUCUUGCCCCAUGAAAUAUUUGAACGGCAGGAUUAUUAGAUUGAAUGGGAUUAUUGGGUUGGACAUUUUGACAAUGAUAUUCAGAUUGGGGCAUUACAUACAUUUUAUGAGAGUUGUACAUGAUAUAAUUAUCGUUUUUACUAGUAACUGAACAUUUCGAUGGAUAAUUAGGUUGAACAUUUUCAAAACUAGAAAAUACAUUCUUGUUGCUUUAGUUGUGUAGUUGCUAGACAUUGUAUAAUAAUAGUCAAAAUUGACAUUAAGAUUGAUAACAUUUUGUCAAAACUGGAUAUAUAAUAGAUAUAUAAUAGAUUUACUUAACAUUAGGCAUUGAUCUUGUAAUGUAAUAUUGACAUCACUUCAUUUAUUAUCGUAUACCAAUAACCAGAAGCGGUCUUUCUCAUUGAAUUUUUUUUUUAAAUUUCAUUAAAUCCACUGUCAAUUGAACCUGUAAGCCAAUGUGUUCAGUAAGGAACUUUAGUGCUCUUCUUUUUUAAAAAUGGGAUAAGUAACUGAAGAUCAUUUCAGACAUUCUAAUUAUACCCCCACAAAUGAAGUUUGAGGGGGUAUAUAGGAGUGAGCUUGUCGGUCGGUCGGUCUGUCUGUCGGUUUUAAUGGUUUCCGGACGAUAACUCAUGAAAGGCUAGACAGAUUUGAAAAAUGUUUGGUACACAGGUGUAACAUCAGAAGAUACAGGUCAAGUUCGAUAUUGGGGCUGGUGGGGCCAAGGUCAAGGUCACUGUUACAUAAAAUAGAAAAACGGUUUCCGGACGAUAACUCAUGAAACGCUAGACAGAUUUGAACAAUUUUUGGUACACAGGUGUAACAUCAGAAGAUACAACAGGUCAAGUUCGAUAUUGGGGCUGGUCGGGCCAAGGUCAAGGUCAUUGUUAAUAAAAAUAGAAAAACGGUUUCCGGACGAUAACUCAUGAAAGGCUUGACAGAUUUGAACAAUUUUUGGUACACAGGUGUUUCAUCAGAAGAUACAGGUCAAGUUCGAUAUUGGGGCUGGUGGCCCCAAGGUCAAGGUCACUGUUACUAAAAAUAGAAAACCGGUUUCCGGACGAUAUUUUAUGAAAGGCUAGACAGAUUUGAACAAAUUUUGGUACACAGGUGUAACAUCAGAAGAUACAGUUUGGUACACAGGUGUAACAUCAGAAGAUACAGGUCCAGUUUGAUAUUGGGGCUGGUGGGGCCAAGGUCAAGGUCACUGUUACUAAAAAUAGAAAAACAGUUUCCGGACGAUAACUCAUGAAAGGCUAGUUUUUCUUGUCAGCAGUGUAACUUCUAAAUUACUCAACAGAUUUAAAUAAAACAAUACAUGCAUGACUAAAAGAAGAUGCAGUGUGCAGUAACCUUGGAGUUAUGGCCUCUUUUCAAAGGAAUGGUUUGUCAUUCCUGUGUCCAGGCGGCAUUUUGGGGUAUUCGUCACUCCUGUGACAGCUCUAGUUUUGUAUGUUGUCACUUGUACAGUGUUUGAUACUAAGACCGGACUCCUUAAUUCCAGAAUCAAGGAGUCCGGCAUUCAAUUAAGGAGUCCAGAAUAAAAAUAAACUUUUCAGGCUAAUGGCUAUUCAUUUAAUGAUUUCACAGAGCAUUUGAUAUUGCUUCUUCUGUAGAGCAAUGUUGUCCCUCAAGCCCAUGUCUGUGUCAUCAUUAUCUUCAUCAUCGCCCCCAGACCAAUCAGGUUCCUCUUUGAUAACAACCUCCUCAACUCCUCCUCACCAUCCUCCAGCUGUACUGCAACAUCCACUGGAAACGCCUUCUUCUGGUCCCCACAAGUCUUUAAAAGACAUUAUAGCAUUACUCAAGUAAACCAAGAUUUGUUUUCUGCAAUAUUAUGCAUUUAGAAAUAAAGUAGUAUAUUUGUUUACCAUUAUCUCUUUCAUAUAGUUAAGCCUACAAGCCCUUUGUCCAUUGGUGUACCAAAGGUGUACAACUUCCUCUAGGUUAAAGUCCAUCACGCUAGGGGACUUGAUGUAGAGAAGCAUCAGGUCUGACAGAUUCUUCUCUGCCAACCUUGACCUCCAGUCAUUCUUUAACAAACCAAACAUCAAGAUAUUUUUUGUAAGUGAAGGAUUUGCCAUUUGGACUUCAAUGGUGCUCGAGCUGUUAAAGUCACUGAUGACACAAUACUGAUCGUCGAUGUCUGUACAACCCAUUAGCCACCUUGCUUUGUCAUGUGACGUAAAAUAAAAUGCGAAUUGUCUCACUAUAUAAUUCUUGUUCAUUCCUUCACUUACCAUAUAUAUAUUUAUGUGUUGUGCAAGGCUAUUUCGAUGACCAUAAUAUUUCUUAAG